rnacentral:rRNA from 1 species
CAAUAGCGUAUAUUAAAGUUGUUGCAGUUAAAAAGCUCGUAGUCGGAUUUUGGCAUCACGCCGCACUGUCUGCCGAUUGGUAAGUACGGUUUGGCGGUUGCUUCCUUCCGGUGCUGUAUGCUGCUCUUAAUUGAGCGGUAUGCUAGUUCCGGUUCAUUUACUUUGAGAAAAUUAGAGUGUUCAAAGCAGGCCUAUGCUCUGAAUAGGUUAGCAUGGAAUAAUAGAAUAGGACUUUGGUUCUAUUUUGUUGGUUUCUAGGACCGAAGUAAUGAUUAAUAGGGACAGUUGGGGGCAUUCAUAUUCCAUUGUCAGAGGUGAAAUUCUUGGAUUAACGGAAGAUGAACGUCUGCGAAAGCAUCUGCCAAGGAUGUUUUCAUUGA